GAACUACUCCACCAAACGCGGUGGAACCGUGGAAGUCGCGUUCAACGGGCUUCCCUUCCCCUACUUCCCUUUCACGAGACUUGCUCCCGACUUCCCAUGGACUCCACCUCCUCCAAGCCCCACCACCACUCCCACCGCCGCCGCCGGUGGCGGUGCUGCGUCCUGAUCUCCGCCGCUGUCGUCCUCUUCGUCGCCCUCCUCCUCCUCAUCCUCGGCCUCACCGUCUUCCGGCCCCGCCACGCCGUCACCACCAUCAACUCCGUCCGCCUCGCCGGCCUCCGCGUCGGCUUCGACGUCCCCAACCUCGGCGUCGACCUCAACGUCACUCUCGACCUCGACCUCACGGCCACCAACCCCAACCACGCUAGCUUCCGUUACGGCGACGGCUCCGCCGAUCUCUAUUACCGCGGCAACGUCGUCGGCGAGGCCGCCAUCCCACCGGGGGAGGUCGCCGCUGGUGGCUCGGUCCGAACCGAGGUCCUCCUCACCGUGAUGGCCGGCCGCCUGAUCGGCAACUCUGCCGUGUACGCUGACGCGAUCUCGGGGUCGUUGCCGUUCACGACGACGACGGAGAUUCCGGGGAGGGUUACGGUUCUCGGCGUAUUCAAGCAUCACAUGGUGACUUAUAGUACGUGCAAUAUCGUGGUGAAUGUUCGGAAUCGGUCGGUGGAGAACUCGGAUUGCACGUACAAGACAAAGCUCUGAGCUUGGCAUUGGGAUUGUUUGCAACCCAUCAGUAUGUCAGAUAACACUAAUGCUGCAUGGAAAUAGGAGAAUAUUGUUGGAAUCAAGGUUCGCUUUUGGAAAUGACACUGUCCUGAAUCUUAUGAAACUCUUAAUUCACCAUCUGCUCUUCAGGUAUCUUGUCAUCUGAAUGGUUAUAUAUAGGGAACUCAGGCAGAGAAAAUGGCUAUCUGGUAUGGAAGGGGAUUCAUGAAUGAAUUGAUGUCAUGCUCUUUUGUGCCGGUGAAAGAGUUCUUCAGUGAUUGUUCAGGCUUGCUGCUGUAUUUUGUCAGCCAAUAUAUCUAAAGCUGUUUGCUGUAAAUAUAAUGCCCUGAUUGUACUUUGCUAGCUAAAAUUGAAUUUUUUAUGGAGAAAAUAAAAUUAGACUUUCUUAAUUUGAAUUG